rnacentral:rRNA from 1 species
GACGAACGCUGGCGGCGUGCUUAACACAUGCAAGUCGAACGGACAGGCCCUGCUUUUGCGGGGUGCUCGUGUGGCGAACGCGUGAGUAUCACGUGAGUAACCUGCCCCUGACUUUGGGGUAACAUCUGGAAACUGGGGCUAAUACCCGAUAGGAGCUCCUGCUGCAUGGUGUGGGUUGGUAAGAUUCGGCGGUGGGGGAUAGACUCGCGGCUUAUCAGCUGGCUGGUGGGGUAGUGGCUUACCAAGGCUUCGAGGGGUAGCCGGCCUGAGAGCGUGACCGGGGACAUUGCGACUGAGAGACGGACCAGACUCGUACGGGCGGCAGUGGUGGGAAGUCUUGCACAGUGGGGGGAAGCCUGAUACGGCGAUGCUGCGUGCGGAAAGACCGGCUAUGGGUUGAAAACAGAUUUCGCAGGUGAUGAAGCGUGAGUGACGGUACUGGAUCAAGAAGCACCGGCUAACUACGUG